CAGUGCAAAUGAUGAGUUUGUUAUCCCUGUCUGAACAUAAUGUGUGGAAGCAAUGGUAUCUGAGCUGCUG
ensembl:snoRNA small nucleolar RNA R38